UAGAGAAGGGAUUGUGAUGACCCUG
rnacentral:piRNA from 1 species